rnacentral:rRNA from 1 species
AGAGUUUGAUCCUGGCUUAGGAUGAACGCUGGCGGCGUGCCUAAGUACAUAGCAAGUCGAACGAGGUAGCAAUACCGAGUGGCGAACGGGUGAGUAACACGUAGGUAACCUGCCCUUAAGCUUGGGAUACCCAGAGGAAACUUUGGCUAAUACCGGAUAACAACAGAGAAGGCAUCUUCUUUGCUUGAAAGGCCCCUUCAAGGGUCACUUAAGGAUGGACCUGCGGCGCAUUAGCUAGUUGGUGAGAUAACAGCCCACCAAGGCGAGGAUGCGUAGCCGAACUGAGAGGUUGAUCGGCCACAUUGGAACUGAGACACGGUCCAAACUCCUACGGGAGGCAGCAGUAAGGAGUUUUCGGCAAUGGGGGAAACCCUGACCGAGCAACGCCGCGUGAGCGAUGACGGUCCUUUUGGAUUGUAAAGCUCUGUUGUAAGCCAUGAAUGAUAGCUUUAGGAAAUGAAAGCUAUUUGACGACAGCUUACCAGAAAGCCACGGCUAACUACGUGCCAGCAGCCGC